CCUACGGGGAGCAGCAGUGGGGAAUCUUCCGCAAUGGGCGCAAGCCUGACGGAGCAAUGCCGCGUGAACGAAGAAGGUCUUCGGAUUGUAAAGUUCUGUCCUUAUCGAAGAGAGAGUAUAGAGUGAAAAAUGAUAUACUAGGACGGUAGAUGAGGAGGAAGCCCCGGCUAACUACGUGCCAGCAGCCGCGGUAAUACGGAGGAUGCGACGGUUAUCCGGAUUUCUUGGGUUUAAAGGAGGCGUAGGCGGAAUAUAAAGUCAGCGGUAAAAUGUCCGGGUUCAACCCGGGCCUGCCGUUGAAACUGGGGAGCUUGAGUGGACGAGAAGUAUGCGGAAUGCGUGGUGUAGCGGUGAAAUGCAUAGAUAUCACGCAGAACUCCGAUUGCGAAGGCAGCAUACCGGCGCCCGACUGACGUUGAGGCACGAAAGCGUGGGGAUCGAACAGGAUUAGAUACCCUUGUAGUC
rnacentral:rRNA from 1 species